UACGUAGGGCGCGAGCGUUGUCCGGAAUUACUGGGCGUAAAGGGCUCGUAGGCGGUCUGUCACGUCGGGAGUGAAAACUCGGGGCUCAACCCCGAGCCUGCUUCCGAUACGGGCAGACUAGAGGUAUGCAGGGGAGAAUGGAAUUCCUGGUGUAGCGGUGAAAUGCGCAGAUAUCAGGAGGAACACCGGUGGCGAAGGCGGUUCUCUGGGCAUUACCUGACGCUGAGGAGCGAAAGUGUGGGGAGCGAACAGG
rnacentral:rRNA from 1 species